UAGAAAGAAAAGAGGCUGCACAGCAUUCCCCAGUGGGCUCAAUAAUCCAUUUCCCAGCUGCCGUUUCAUGCAGAGGACAUAACAAACAUCUUGACUUUGGCUGUUUAUUUGAGAACAGGUGGGACCAAGAUUUGUGGUGUCCAGGAUGUGUCCCAUGUCACACAGCCCAAGAAAGCACUUCGGCCAUCACAUCCAUGCUCCCAACCACAGGAUGGAGGAACAGGUAAAGAAGCAGCGAAGGACACAUUUCAACUGUCUAUUGAGGAGGGUUCUGUUGCAGCAUCACUAUUCCUAUCGACAUUCAUUGGCUAAAAUAGUGACAUGGCCAUGCCUAGAGUGGAUGGAAAGUGUAGUCUUCAUUUUGGACAGCCACAUGCCCAGUUAAAAAUUCUAUUUCUAUGGAACAAACAGACAAUGGGCACUGAGGGGAAAGUAGCAAUUUCUGUUACACUGUGUAUGGAAGAGAUCUGAGGCUUUUUGGUUUUUGUUUUUUUAAAAAAGACAUUUUAAUUCCAAGAAUCAUAACUACAGUAUUAUUUACAACAGCAAAAGCUAAGCCAAAAAAGUAACUGAGAUCUGGUAAGAUUUGG
rnacentral:lncRNA from 10 species